rnacentral:rRNA from 1 species
UACGUAGGGGGCAAGCGUUGUCCGGAUUUAUUGGGCGUAAAGAGCGUGUAGGCGGCCAGGUAGGUCAGCUGUGAAAACUCGAGGCUUAACCUCGAGACGCCGGCUGAAACCCUCUGGCUAGAGUCCGGAAGAGGAGAGCGGAAUUCCUGGUGUAGCGGUGAAAUGCGCAGAUAUCAGGAAGAACACCCGUGGCGAAGGCGGCUCUCUGGGACGGUACUGACGCUGAGACGCGAAAGCGCGGGGAGCGAACAGG